rnacentral:rRNA from 1 species
GACGGACGCUGGCGGCGUGCCUAAUACAUGCAAGUCGAGCGAUGAUUAAAGAUAGCUUGCUAUUUUUAUGAAGAGCGGCGAACGGGCGAGUAACGCGUGGGAAAUCUGCCGAGUAGCGGGGGACAACGUUUGGAAACGAACGCUAAUACCGCAUAACAAUGAGAAUCGCAUGAUUCUUAUUUGAAAGAAGCAAUUGCUUCACUACUUGAUGAUCCCGCGUUGUAUUAGCUAGUUGGUAGUGUAAAGGACUACCAAGGCGAUGAUACAUAGCCGACCGGAGAGGGUGAUCGGCCACACUGGGACUGAGACACGGCCCAGACUCCUACGGGAGGCAGCAGUAGGGAAUCUUCGGCAAUGGGGGCAACCCUGAUCGAGCAACGCCGCGUGAGUGAAGAAGGUUUUCGGAUCGUAAAACUCUGUUGUUAGAGAAGAACGUUAAGUAGAGUGGAAAAUUACUUAAGUGACGGUAUCUAACCAGAAAGGGACGGCUAACUACGUGCCAGCCGCCGCUGUAA